UAAGCGGAGGAAAAGAAACUAACAAGGAUUCCCCUAGUAACGGCGAGUGAAGCGGGAAGAGCUCAAAUUUGUAAUCUGGCCCUUUCAGGGUCCGAGUUGUAAUCUCGAGAAGUGUUUUCCGCGCCGGACUGCAUACAAGUCUGUUGGAAUACAGCGUCAUAGUGGUGAGAGCCCCGUAACUGAUGCAGAUGCCCGGUGCUUUGUGAUACACUUUCGAAGAGUCGAGUUGUUUGGGAAUGCAGCUCAAAUUGGGUGGUAAAUUCCAUCUAAAGCUAAAUAUUGGCGAGAGACCGAUAGCGAACAAGUACCGUGAGGGAAAGAUGAAAAGCACUUUGGAAAGAGAGUUAACAGUACGUGAAAUUGUUGGAAGGGAAACGCUUGAAGUCAGACUUGCUAUUCGGAAUUCAGCCGCAAGGUGUACUUUUCGAUUUGCAGGCCAGCAUCAGUUUUUGGGGGUGGAAAAGGGUGGAGAGAAGGUAGCAACCUCGGUUGUGUUAUAGCUCUUUACUGGAUUCAUCUUUGGGGACUGAGGGUCGCAGUGCGCAAUUCAUUUUGCAAACCUUUCGAGGUUUUCGUACUUAGGAUGCUGGUGGAAUGGCUUUAAACGACCCGUCUUGAAACACG
rnacentral:rRNA from 1 species